GACGAACGCUGGCGGCGUGCUUAACACAUGCAAGUCGAACGGAAAGGCCCUGCUUUUGUGGGGUGCUCGAGUGGCGAACGGGUGAGUAACACGUGAGUAACCUGCCCUUGACUUUGGGAUAACUUCAGGAAACUGGGGCUAAUACCGGAUAGGAGCUCCUGCUGCAUGGUGGGGGUUGGAAAGUUUCGGCGGUUGGGGAUGGACUCGCGGCUUAUCAGCUUGUUGGUGGGGUAGUGGCUUACCAAGGCUUUGACGGGUAGCCGGCCUGAGAGGGUGACCGGCGACAUUGGGACUGAGAUACGGCCCAGACUCCUACGGGAGGCAGCAGUGGGGAAUAUUGCACAAUGGGCGGAAGCCUGAUGCAGCAACGCCGCGUGCGGGAUGACGGCCUUCGGGUUGGAAACCGCUUUCGCCUGUGACGAAGCGUGAGUGACGGUAAUGGGUAAAGAAGCACCGGCUAACUACGUG
rnacentral:rRNA from 1 species